rnacentral:rRNA from 1 species
AAUUGGGGGGCUCGAAGACGAUCAUAUACCGUCCUAGUCUCAACCAAAAAUGAUGCCGACCAGGGAUUGGCGGAUGUUGGUUUUAGGACUCCGUCGGCACCUUAUGAGAAAUCAAAGUUUUCUGGU